rnacentral:rRNA from 1 species
AGUGAACGCUGGCGGCGUGCUUAGCACAUGCAAGUCGAACGGGCAAGAGCCGUAGCAAUACGGAGUUCUGCUAGUGGCAAACGGGUGAGUAAUACAUGGGAAUCUACCUUGGAGUCUAGGAUAACAGUUGGAAACGACUGCUAAUACCGGAUAUAACCGAGAGGUAAAAGAUUUAUCGCUCUAAGAUGAGCCCAUGGAGGAUUAGCUAGUUGGUAGGGUAAAGGCCUACCAAGGCGACGAUCCUUAGCUGGUCUGAGAGGAUGAUCAGCCACACUGGAACUGAGACACGGUCCAGGCUCCUACGGGAGGCAGCAGUGGGGAAUAUUGGACAAUGGGCGAAGCCUGAUCCAGCGACGCCGCGUGGGUGAUGAAGGCCUUCUGGUUGUAAAGCCCUUUCAGUGGGAAAGAUAAUGACGGUACCCACAGAAGAAGCUCCGGCAAACUUCGUGCCAGCCGCCGCGGUAA